rnacentral:rRNA from 1 species
CCUACGGGGGGCAGCAGUAGGGAAUCUUCCACAAUGGGCGAAAGCCUGAUGGAGCAACGCCGCGUGGGUGAAGAAGGUCUUCGGAUCGUAAAACCCUGUUGUUAGAGAAGAAAGUGCGUGAGAGUAACUGUUCACGUUUCGACGGUAUCUAACCAGAAAGCCACGGCUAACUACGUGCCAGCAGCCGCGGUAAUACGUAGGCGGCAAGCGUUAUCCGGAUUUAUUGGGCGUAAAGGGAACGCAGGCGGUCUUUUAAGUCUGAUGUGAAAGCCUUCGGCUUAACCGGGGUAGUGCAUUGGUAACUU